rnacentral:sRNA from 1 species
GAAAGGUCACAGCGCGGCAGCGGGUCUGGCUGGCGGCAGCGGCGGGAGGGAGCUUAGAGACCCGAGUGCACGUGUGGAGAAGCGGCGGCACAAGCGCGGCGGCGGGAGACACUCCCGCCCCCACCAGACUCAAGCCCUCACUCGACUCUCGCGGCCUUCGUUGCUCGCCCAGCUCCCUGCCCAGGCUAGGAGGCCGGCUUGCGGGGUUGAGUGGCCCAAGCUAAGGGUGCGGAGACCUAAGGGCGGUGACUACGACGGCGUUGAUAUCGGUGGUAACGACGGCCUCAGCAGGCGGGGAAGAUGAAAGGCCGGAUCGAGCUGGGAGAUGUGACACCACACAAUAUUAAACAGUUGAAAAGAUUGAAUCAGGUCAUCUUUCCAGUCAGCUACAAUGACAAGUUCUACAAGGAUGUGCUGGAGGUUGGCGAGCUAGCAAAACUUGAUUAAAUGUGUUAUUCUGUCUGUUCAACAUUAUAUCUUUAUGUUUUCCUUGGCAGCCUAUUUCAAUGAUAUUGCUGUA